AUGAAAUAGGGUAAGUGUGCCGAUCGUUGUGGUAAUAAGGUAAAUUAAUUCAAAAAAAUAUGAUCGUACCAUCUAAUGAACGGUUUCAAAACGUUAGUCAGUAGUUUUCUAUCCAUAUUUGCUGGGAAAAAUAUGAAAACUAUCGUUUCUCUCUGUUUUCGAUCAAUAAUCGCAUACCACAACAAUAGGCACACUGUUCCUAUUAUGGAGGUAAAAUUUAAUUUCGGUUCCUAAUGUUGCGGUAUCCCAUUGAAAUCAUAUGGGAUACCGCAACAUUAGGAACACUACCGCAACAAUAGGAACACAGCAGCAGAAAUAUUAAGGAAAAUAUAUUUUUAAACUAGGUUUUUGGGCAAAACUUAAGCACACAAAAAGUGCAAUCUUAUAAAUUAAGCAUAAUACAUCUAUUAAAAAUGACUUUUGGUAACAUUUCAGUCGAAAAAGUGCUCAAAUGCCACUACCGCAACAUUAGGUACUACCACAACGAAGGGAACAAUUACCCUAGGUAUGCAAUAUGCAUAUGUCUGCUGCACUAUCAAAAUUACCCUCAUUAUUAAAGUUACCUCGUUUAACGGUAUUUAAAAUUGUUUUUUGAACCAAUAACGGUUUUCAAUUCAAUUAUUUGUUUCAAUAGUUGAUUUAUUCAAUAGUGAGAAUAUUUUUCAUUUUACUGAAGGAAACCGAUGAAGUUGGAUGUGCACAAACGAUGAGGUAAGUUUCAUUGCCGAUUUUAUGAAUUGUUCAAGUGACCUUCCAGCGGCAUCUCCCGUUCUAGCCAUUAAAAAUACUGUUUAUGUCGGCACUUCGCAGAAGCAGCUCUUAUCGCUCUAUUUUUCUCCCUCCCGUUGUCAUCGUGCGAGGCGUCAUCAUCGAAGCAUUGAGAAGCAAACAAACUGCGCCGAUCAGUCUUACACACACUGACUGGUAUGUAAACGAGCUACCCCGAGGAGCAGCUUAUCAAGUUUUAUUCAAGAGAACAAAAUAAACACUACGUAGUCUAUUCACUAAACUAACAGCUAAAUCGAGCCAGAGGUACACGCUGACGAGCGUUUCUGAAUCCUACCAGCAACAGUCAUAUGUAUGCGAAUGCGAUGUAACCAUUACACAGGGUCGUUUAAUGUGUUAAGCAAGAAUUUCGUUUUCGUUUCAGCGCGAUAUCACCGGUAUGGCUUCUUUCUUCUCCGAUCUAUGAACAAGUCUCGUUCGUUUAUUAAUGGCAUAUACCGUCCGACUAUGAUCGUAACCGCAACUUUCAUAGCGUCUUUAACGAGGCACUACUGGAUAUCACUUCCUUGUCCAAGUAGGACGACGGCGGCGUUGUCAUCAUCGGAGCCGUGCGAAUUAAUAGCUUAUAAAUAAUUUAUGGCCUAGUGGUGUAGCGCCUCCCGCAGGGUGCUCA